AGAAGAAAGAGGGCCUCCAGUAAAGCAUGUGGACAGGGAGGAAGGCCAGAUACUGUGGAGGAGCCACUACCAGGUCCUCUGUAUGAAAACGUCUCAACUCUGACCAAUCACUUGGCUCCUGCAGCACAGACAGAACCAAUAGAAGAGCAGGAUGACCAUCACUAUGCCAGCAUCCAUACCUCUCGUUCAGAGAACCAGGAAGUUCCUCGCUGUUGGGUUGGCCCUAAUGUCCAAUCAGACCAAGCAGAUGCUGUCUUUUAUUCUGUGGUCAACAUUAAGAGACCAAACGCUGUCCCUGGAGAGAGUGACCAGACAGAGGCGGCAGAAACUUCAGAGUUGUACAGCACCGUCAAAAAACACCCCAGAUAUUGAAACAGUUGUGGCAGCAGGAUUUAAAUAGUGGUACUAGGUGGAGUGUC